UUGACAUCCCUGAGGACCGAUGUACUUUGUCUACAGAAUAUGUACAGCAUGUGAAGCAGCAGUGCAGGCUUCCCUCCUCCAUCCUAACCGACUGGACCUGAGAGCCACCUCAGUGGUGAAAGAGGAACUGAAUCUUCAUGACCCAUUCAUUCCUUGGCUUCU
rnacentral:sRNA from 1 species